CCGAUCACUUGGCUAAGCAAUUAUAAGCACGUGCAAGAAACUAACUCUUUUUUACAUACAUAUAGAUAUAUACUUGAGCUACCCUUCCAUCUUAUAUUGUCCACACCCUUCAAUUUAUGUAGUGAUGAUUCAAUGAUCAAUCAUUUCAAUUUUCAAGUAUGGACGUUGCCAAUUUUGAGCUUCAAUUUUUCAGCCCAGACACACAUUAUUGACAAGUUUGGUUAUCGACCAAGCCCACGAUCAAGUAAUUGAAUUGUCAACGUCGGCUCUAUGAUCGAGUUUGAACUGAUCAGUAACAGCCAAAGUUGAUCGGUUUCGGCCGCUUCUAUACUUCUCACACUGGUGGGCACCUCUCCAUCAAUUUCAAGCGGUUUCCAAUUCCGAGGUUGAGCUUCAAAAAUUUGGGAAUAUCCUAUCAUCAACUUCUACUUCAAUGGAUAAUCUACCAGCCCUGCUUAUUUUCAGGUUAGCCUUACUCUAUAUAUUAAUAUAUAUAUAUGCUACCACAUGGCUUAACCUUCCUUAGUCCGCAUCUCAAUGGGAAAAUUAUGUACUUCAAUCCACAAAGGCAUAAUCUUAAUAAGAUAAGAGAAUGCUUCGACUAUAUAUCCAGUACAGCUCACUUCUUCUUAAGGUGGUAAGGUAUAUCAAGAAAAGUCCCCCAAACAUUAUAUGCUGUGAAAGAUAUUUCAAAUGGAAUGUCGUCUAGAUCUGCACCCUCUAUCAUAGUUCUCACAUACACCUGUGUUAUAGUAGUCAUAAAACGCUCACCAAUUUCAGGUUUUUGAGUGAGCGCCCAAGAUGGGUUAGCUGUUGUUUGAGUGAGCCUAAACUUAAAACCCACUAAGUCUUGCAUGUUAGAAUCGAUGUUCGGAUUAUGCAUGAGAAAGAGAGAGAAGCGAAAAGAAAUAGAAAGUGGAAGAAAAAUGAACAUGGUUUGGCCUGACUGCUAUGACUACAUCCACAAUAAAAAGCUGCAUGAGAGGCUACAUCUUUUAAGUUCUUAGGGUAACAAUGAACUCCAAUGUAGAUUAUAUAUAGUAGCUAACCUUAGAUUAACCUUAAGGUUUUAGUACUUACAUUACAAAUACGAUAACUUACUUUGUUUGUUCUACGAGUACGAGCUUACAACGUGCUUGGGUCUCUUAGAUCUUAAUAUUUCUAAUAUUCUUAAACUGAAGGGGUAAGCUUGAGUUUGGAAUGGAAAACCAUUACAAAGUUGGAUCGAAUUGGAUGUACAGAAGAUUGAGCUUGAUAUGGAAUGGAAUGGAAUUUACAAAAUGGAUGUGAUCAGUGGUAGCAGAAAACAACAUUUGGCCUUGGAUGAUGGAUUCAGGACAACUGCCAACACUGAUGACAUUGAUAAAUGUAACCGUUGUGAGUGCAGCGACGACAACAACAAGAAUGAUGAUAUCAAUUGUGAACAACGUUGUGUUGGUAGCAAGUAAUUGAAAAUUGGUUCGACGGGGCACAUCUAAAUCUAACCCUUAGGCCUUAGAGAUGCAUAAGUUAGCAACCUUUGAUGAAACUUGCAUGGGUAAUAUUCUUGAGUAUGGUUAGAGCACAUGGUGAAGUAUUACGCUAGUGCAUAUAUAUAUAUGGUAUGUGGGCCUAAGUCUUGAUGCAUGGCAUGUGUGAGUGCGGAUGGUUGGCAUACUCUUCUGAUGAUGCGUGAGGGUGCAUGAGGGGUUUUCUGGAGGAGCUUUUGAUGGAAUUAUGAAAAGUUGCGUGAGAUCUUUAUUUGAUUUAUGUGGUUGAUGGCUCGAAAAGAAACACAAAGGGUGUGGAUACUAUGUUAGAAAAACUGAGACAUGGCUGUGAUAUACCAUGUUAAAACUGUUCUUGGGAUUAUUCAACAGUUUUGCGCCCAUUUCAUGCAUUAUACAGGAAACGAAGACUAUUUCUUACAUGCAUGCAUGGCUGCAACCAAUAAAAUUUGAAUGGCCUGUGGACAUUGUCUAAUUUGAAGUGGACCAUAGCAAAUAUAUUCUCUUGCAUUAGUAAUCGGAUUAAAGUAAUUGCAUUACUAUGUUUCUGGCAUAAUUAGUAGUACAAUUCUUGCUCAGCUGUUUAAUUUUCUCACUAUUCUUCUAUGAACUUGUUACUACAUUGCAUCUUAGAUAAGCUAAAGCUCAUGAAUUCUAUUAGUCUUAACUAGGAUUAUGUAACAUAUUCAGUAAAGAAAGCUGCGCCAAAUUAUAUUUAUCCUAUGGCUUGGAGCAUCAAUGACGCCCACAUAUGAUGAAUUCGUUUAUGUGUGUGCAAACUCUAUAUUUUCCAGGUGAUGUAUAUGUGUGUAUAUAUCAUGUCAUCGUUUUUAUCACAAUUAAAGAAUAUAAAUUAAAUUAUUGACUGCUUCAUGUCUUCUUCCAAGCCUUUUGUUUUGCUUUUUUUUUUUUUUUUGGAAGGUGGGGAGGGGGCAUCGACUUUUCAUUCAGCAUGCAACAAAAAAACUAUAUUUGUAGAUUGAAGACAAACCAAAGAAGCCAUGAAAGCAAAUGCAAGGAAUAGGAAGAAGAAGAAAGCGGCGCUGGACUUCACUUAAGGAUAGGUUUUCUUUUUUCUUUUUAUUAUUUUAUAUAUAUAAAAUCUGGCACUAAAACCACGUCGUUUUAGGACCUGAUAUUAAAUUUUAAUACCAGCUCCAAAACGACGUAGUUUUUAUAAUCAGAUUUAAAUAAAUAAAAAAACCUAAGUUUAUUUACCCAGCCUCUCCAUAUCUCUCGCUCAUCAUCUCAUCCGCCUGCCUCUUCCAGUCCCAGCCACAAAAGUCUUCAUUUCACCUCUCUCUCUCCCCUCAACGUCCGCCACUUGCUGUCGCCGCUUGCUGCCGCCACAACUAGUGCUUGAUGCCGCGUUUUUUGGAGUUUCACCCUCUCCUCUCUCCUCUUUGUCACAACACAAAACCCACAACACAAAAUCCACCACCAUUUCAGCUUUUUAUCUUCAAGCACCUCUGUUUUUGCUGCCACCCAGGUCAGAUCUUCAAGGUGUUGUCUCUGCCUUCAUUUCCCGGUGGUCGAUUACUCUAUUAGACUUCGCAGGUGAGUCAAUCGAUGGUUAGAUUCAAGAAUCUUGAGCUUGUUUGGGUUUUAAUAUUUGGGUUUGUAAUUGGUUUUGAAUCUUUUGAUAUUUAGAUUUGAUCUAAGUUUUGAUUUGUGGUUUGAAUCCUUGAGUUUUCUGGGUUUGAUUUGGGUUUUAGAUCUCUCUUCCUAUCUGUGUGUGUGAUAGACAGGUGGACACCGACCACCACACCGACUGGAACCGCCACCGAUGUUGCCGGAGAACCGUUCCUCAGGCGCGGAGGCGGCUUGGGGUUUUAGGAAACCGAAGAUUCCGGUGCGGUGCAGAAACGGCCACAAAAACCGGCCGCACCGCACCGUGUACAGCCCUAAAUUUACCAUCUCAACAAUCUGAUCACACUACAAAACACGCGGGUCAGCUUCCCAGAUGGCAGCAUGGUUGAAGGUCGGUGCGGAAGAAGAAGAAGAAAUGAGAG